CAGUCCACACCAUGCAUGCAUUAUUAUUUUUGUAGCUGUCCCACGUUCACGUCCAUACCGGCAAGCACAUAGCACGGCCCCCAUUUUCAAGUGCAGAAAGUUUGGAAUCCAGAGUGGCACGUCGAGUGCAUGAACUAAUCAAACAUGAUGGUUCUUCACUCGGACCAGGUUUAGUUGGUCUCUAGUACAUAACAAGGCUAGGCUUCAUGACGCUCCAGCUUUAGUUAGUCUAUACUCUAUACACUUCAUCUUCCUCCUUCUCUUUUCCUUCUCUGCUCUGCCAGUGCGUCCACUAAUUUGUAUUCUCCUUUGGUAUUACUCCUGAUACUAGCUUGUAUUUCUGUGCGUUUCCUCUAUGAUCUGCUUCUAGCUCCCCAUUUUCAUGCUCUCCGGUUCUCCAAUUCUCUUAACAGUUGUCCACUUGCAAAGUACACCUUGUGGGGAGUUUGGGAUGGCCGAUUGGAGCAUGGGACCUGCUGUAUGGGUACCCAGUGAUUACCAGCUAUCCAUGGAACCUGCAAUAUGGAUUCCUGGCGUCCCUAUCGAGUAUGCUGUGUCGACUGAGAUGCUUGGUAGCUCCUACCAAUACCAAGCGUCUAUCCCUAGUUCAAGUGAAGAUCAGCAACGGCUGGUUGAGUACGCAGCUGCAGCAGCCACACAGCAACAACAACCACGUGAGGGUGAGCUGGUUGAUUUCCAUGGGAUGGAAAUGUACAUCCAUAGUCCAAUUCGUGUGUUCGAGAAAGCAGCAUAUGAGUUUUAAGGUCAACAUCGGCAAGAUGGGGACCAAGAUGCAUAGAUACCCUACAUACUUUCCAAACCUCCCGACACGAUACAGAGUCCCGUGGACCGUGUCCAUUGGCCCUUACCACCGCAAACAUCCACGUCAACUCCGUCAGGCGGAGGAUGUAAAGCAUGUGGCCGCAUACCACUGCAUCAAGCAGUCUGGCCACUCGGUCCAGGAGAUAUAUGGUGCAGUCGUCUCGGUGGCAGACCAUGCACGCAGCCUCUACGACAAGGAUGUGAUGGCAGGUAUCAGCGAUGAUGUCUUCCUUCCUAUGAUGUUCUAUGAUGCUUGCUUCCUGGUGCAGUACAUGCUUACUUGCACUUCCGAUGGCCUGGAGGAGAUGGAUGAGUCAUUGCGUAGUUUCUUUGACUCCCACGAUGAAGCCAUCUUUAACGACAUCAUGCUUCUUGAGAACCAGCUCCCUUGGGUGGUGAUGGAGACCCUGUUGAGGUUCAGACCUGUGCCCUUGGAGGACUUUGUUGCUGCAUUGAAAGGCUUCCUGCAGGACCGCAAGGAUCUCAACAUUCAGACUGUUAUCCUGGAUGAUUUUUUCAAGCCACCGCAUCUGCUGGGCCUCCUCCGAUUCUACGUUGCAGGAACAAGCAACGCCAAGCAGCCGCAGCUACCCCCAACCGAGUUCAUAUCAUUUUCUGUUAGUGCCGUGGAACUUGCAGAAAUUGGCAUCACCCUCGCAGUAAGCGGAGCAACAGAGCUUGCACAAAUUGGCAUCAAGAAAGGACCCCUCUUCGGAGAGCUGUCCCUGCCUCAACUGUCCCUGGACGACACAAAUGCGAGUAUCCUUGCCAACAUGGCUGCAUUCGAGCUAUGCACCACCGCAGAUUUCCAAGCUGUCCAAGACGAGAAUUCUGCUGUCUGCUCAUACCUCCAACAUCUGGCCAUGAUCCUGGACCGGGUGGAGGACGUGCACGAGCUGCGAAGCAAGCAUGUCCUUCAAGGAGGAGGAGGGCUCAGCAACUUGGGUGUGCUCCAAUUCUUCACAAGUCUUCAGGACCUGCGCCUUGGAUCCUGCUACAUCCGCACGAUGAAACAGAUUGAGGAUUACAGGCAUAAAAGGCAAAGGUGGAUCAAAGUGGUCAAGUUUUAUAAGGAGAACAAGAAAACAAUCGCCACUGUACUAUCCGGCAGUGCUGCACUUGCCAGUAUCUUAGGGACGAUCUUGUCUCUGAAAAAAUAGCAGUUGUAAUGCAGUUUGAUGUAUCUUUGUUAUUUAAUUUUCAUUGUAUCUAAAUUCCAUUUGUAAUAAAAUGUGGAUCCCAUUUGCAGUUUUUGCA